UACAGAGGUGGCAAGCGUUGUUCGGAAUACUGGGCGUAAGCGUGCGCAGGCGGUUAUGUAAGACAGAUGUGAAAUGCCCGGGCUCAACCCUGGGAACUGCAUUUGUGACUGCAUGGCUAGAGUUUGGCAGAGGGGGAUGGAAUUCCGCGUGUAGCAGUGAAAUGCGUAGAUAUGCGGAGGAACACCGAUGGCGAAGGCAA
rnacentral:rRNA from 1 species